GACAGAGGGUGCGAACGUUGCUCGGAAUUACUGGGCGUAAAGCGCGUGUAGGCGGUCAUCCCAGUCGGGUGUGAAAGCCCAGGGCUCAACCCUGGAAGUGCACUCGAUACUAGAUGGCUGGAGUCUUGGAGAGGAAAGCGGAAUUCCCGGUGUAGAGGUGAAAUUCGUAGAUAUCGGGAGGAACACCAGUGGCGAAGGCGGCUUCUGGACAAGUACUGACGCUGAGACGCGAAAGCAUGGGGAGACAAACAGGGAU
rnacentral:rRNA from 1 species